AGCUGUAGAAAGCAGUCAAUUCAAUCACAAUGUCAGAUUUAUGUUGUACAGAAGAGUAUUUAUUAGAAGAGCUUAGUUUUGCCACACCCUUCCUGUGUGAUCUUGGAGAUGUCAUCUUCUCUUGCUGUGUAUGUAUGUGUUGUCAGUCAAGCGCAAGCCUCAGGUUCAAACCUACUCAUCAGUUAAAUUUACAUCAUUGGAUCUCUUGCAGAGUGGACAAUGAGUUCUGGUGUUCUCUGAGGUAUGGUCCUGGCAAUGCUGGUGCUUUGAUGUGUUUUCUUCUCUUUGCUAUGCAGAGAUUGGAGAUGAGUGAGGAAACAGGACUGAACAUGCUGCAUGCAGCUGGGAAGCAGAUAUGCUGACCUUAUUGUGUCAUAAUGCUAACACAAAAUGUUUCUGUUCUAAUAAUGUGCACUUAUGACUGGUUUCACAUGAGCUCCUUCAGUCCCAGGUCAUGGCUGAUGGAGUCCUGAUGGGAAAAGCCUUGGGGCUUGUUGUCUUAUACAUUCUCUUGUCCUGCUGAGGAGAAGAAAGCAGCUUGGUGGGCUCCAUGCAGAUAGUCAAAUUUAACACACCACAUGGCCUUAACACAACACUGUGCCAAAAUGGCCUGAGAUCCUAAGGGGUCUCCACAGUUUCACUUCUGAGAGUGGAAGGUAUUUGCAUAGAGCCUAAAUGGAGGCUGAAUUCAAGCUGCUUGUAAUGAAAAGAAUUACAUCCUCUCUAAAACUUGCAGGUCUCUAUCCCUGGGGCUCAUCUGCUUUGGAACUUACAACAGGAAGAGAGCCAAGUAUUUGGUCAUUAUCAGUGAUUU
rnacentral:lncRNA from 1 species